CAAUAGCGUAUAUUAAAGUUGUUGCAGUUAAAAAGCUCGUAGUUGGAUUUGUGGCGGUUCCUGUGGUCCGAUUUCGGUACUUUCGGGGACUGCCAUCCUUGGGUGGAUCCUGUGUGGCAUUAGGUUGUCGUGCAGGGGAUGCCCAUCGUUUACUGUGAAAAAAUUAGAGUGUUCAAAGCAGGCUUACGCCGUUGAAUAUAUUAGCAUGGAAUAAUGAGAUAGGACCUUGGUACUAUUUUGUUGGUUUGCGCACCGAGGUAAUGAUUAAUAGGGACAGUUGUGGGUAUUCGUAUUCCAUUGUCAGAGGUGAAAUUCUUGGAUUUCUGGAAGACGAACGAAUGCGAAAGCAUUUACCAAGGAUGUUUUCAUUAA
rnacentral:rRNA from 1 species